UGUGGUGAUCCGUGGCGGCGGGGCACCGGGGGACGGAGCCGCCUCAGACGCCACCGGGUUCAGCCCCUGGGGGGUUAUACAGGGGUCCAGGAGCGCUGCCACCCCUCAUACUGCACCCUAGGGUGCUGCUGAGGAACCCUGGAGGGGGAGCAGCGCAGAGGGGGUGAAGGUGGCAGUUAAAGAUGGAACACGCUGGGGUUUAAGAGGCACACGGCCAGGAGCGCUGGCAAACAGGGGCUGGGUGAGCAAAGCUGGGUGCAGCCCCAGCCCUGUUCCCCCCGCACCCACGCUGAGGGGCAGGGGGCACCCGGGGGCCCGGCCGGACCCAGCACCUGGGCAACACCAUGGAGUUACAGCUCCUUCUCUGCAGGCCACGGGCUUUACCUACGCUUCAUUCCCACCCCGCUGUACCAGGGCCAUGCUUGAUGCAGUCCCGCUACAGCCAGAAUCCUGCCACGUCCCUGACUCGGAGGUAGAGUUCUGCCAAGCUCCUGCAGAGAUGCUCCAGGUUGUGGCAAGUACCUGAGCCUACAGGGGGAGUACGCUGCAGCUCCUGGUAUCUCCGUCUCCAGCAGUCACCAUCACCACAGGACAGAGGCACUUUUUCAAAGUGGCUGCAAAGACCACAGAAGCCUGCCAGGAUAAAGUAUCAAGGGUAUUUUUUAAUUUAUGGUCCGCACAAGUUUAAUUGAGCACAGAUUCUGUAUACUUGCUGGGAAGAGAGAUGGGAAUUCCUAAAAUAGAAGGAAGAUCCCUCCAUUUUUUCAACACUGGUUUUCUUACUUCCUGAUUUUAUCCAUUAAAUACUUAUUUUACCACAUCA